UCUGCAGUGCCGCACACAGACAGGAGACCAGCAUUACAGCAACAACCGAGGGGCCACUGCCUGAUGAAUUGCCAGAGGGGAACCACCAGCUCUGCUUUUAAUAACCGGAUCUGCAUCCUGCUGCUGCCCAGCUGGGCUGAGGGCCCUGACCACGGCUAAGGGGAGUCAUCACAGGGCUUCAGGGCUGGAAUUCCAGUGCUGCAGGAUGAGUGGCGCUGGUCUCGGGAUCCGCAGAGUCUACAGGGCCCUGGGCUUGGACACCGUCUCAGGGGUUUGUGCCUUCAGAGCCUGGUGGAGCAGCCAAGCAACUGGGCACAUGAAGGCAAAGUGCUUGGUGCUGGAGCCCGGAGCAGGAGGCCAAGAGAGGAAAGGAGUGCCAUCCGAUGGCACUGGCGUGGCAGACAGGAUCACAGUUACUACUCAUGGCAGAAAGCUUCAAAGUAGCCAGGCCCCUCGGUGGAAGGAAGAGACGAGGCUUCUAAUUUUGUCUUUACUACUUACUAGCUGAGUGACCACAAAUGCAGCCUGUUGGAACUCAGAAAAUAACACCCCAAAAUGAAAGCCUCAGAAGCAAAAGUGACCUUCUAUUCUAGCCUUCUAGCCUUCUCCUGCCCUCCUGUGUCCGUCCCCCAAGGACGGACGUAGAAAAGAGCAUCCCUCCUCCUCAAGGCGUGUUAUAGAAAUCAAAACCCCUUUUCCCCAAAGCUAGCCAUAAAGCCUACAAACUCUAACUUUCCCCAAUUUCUGUGUAAAAACUGGCCACAAAUAAAUUCUCAGGCCUAGGUGGGGCAUGGUGGCUCACACCUAUAAUCCCAGCACUUUG
rnacentral:sRNA from 1 species